rnacentral:lncRNA from 1 species
UAGAUUUAGAACAGAUAUUAGGGAGAAUUUUUUAUGAUGAAGGUGAUGAAAUGCUGGGAGGGGAUGCCCACAGAUGCUGUUGUUGAUCCAUCCUUGAAGGGGUUUUAGGCCAGCUUACACGGGGCUCUGAGGAACCUGAUCUAGAUGAAAUGUCCCUGCUCUCAGGGGUUGGACUAGAUGCUUGUUUAAGCGGCCUUCCAACCCAAACUUUUCUAGGAUUCUGUCAUUCUGUGAUCCUUGUCCCAUGUUAGCGUGCUAGUGUUCUACAUCAAGUUCUUUGGGAUAACAAAGAGAUGUGACCCAGCUCCAGCAAGUUUUCUGGCCCAUUCCAUCAUCACGCUGUCCAGCACCCUCCACUUCUUUUUCUACUGCAGGCUUCAGCCUACCACCUGUCAAUGGCACAGCUUCCAGUGUGCAGAGGAAUCACCCUGGGUAGUGCCUUGAAGAAGAAGGUCUUGAGGAAGCAGGACAAGGUGCCCAGUAUGCCCAUGAUCCAUGAGGAAGGCAGCAUCCCAUGCAACUCCUCAGUGACCUCGCAGACGGCCCCUGGUGCCGAGUGCCGAGAGGAGCUGCUCCGUGGGCAUGGGCACAAGGACACAGCCUCUGCUGAGCCACAGCAGUCCUUGCUCCAGGCACUCUCCUUGCUCGGCAGCCAUGACUGAGCAGAAGGGUGAACGCCCAUCUGUCAAGAGCCCUGUGAAGAAGAGGAGCGAUGGCUCCAAGAAGCCCCAGGCCCCAGUGCCUUCUAGUCAAGGGUACUGAGCACUUUUGUUAGAUGUGACAAAGCACAAGACAAGCCUGACAUGUCUCUUCCUCAGGAAAAUCUUUCUGGCAGACAUGGCCAGAGAUUGUUUCCUUUCCCUACAAAUGCUGUAUGAUAAAAAAUAUCUAUUUCUGCAUUACACUGGACAAGCUUGAAUAGCUAUUAAGCACGUGUGGUUGGCUUCUUGAAUUAAGUCUGGGGUUGUUUUUGUGGGGAGGGGUCUUAAAAGGAGGAAGUAAGGUGAGUCUUCCUUGCCCUGAACUCUCGAUCUUUACUAUUAAUGACAAUACAAAUGGCUUUUGGGGCAACUCCAAUUUUGCAAAGAAUGAGUUUCUGGUUGCAAUUGUUUGUGUUCUUUGGACUUACCUACUUGUUUCAUCCUUUCCCAUUGCGAGCACAGCUAAGCAAACAUAAAUUGACAGGCAAUCAAUUAUUUAAGGUUCAGUUAACUAUCUCAAGCCCAGUUUCUUCUAACUUUUAACUAAAAUCCUAAUUUCACACAUGCUUAAUAGCUUUUCAAAGCUAAUUACGAUAGGAAGUGGGGGAUGGGAGGGACUGGUAUUAUGAAUAUGUAUUUGUCUGAAUUCUUUGUCAAUAAAUAGACUCUGUGACCACCUGUAAUUUUGCAGUGUGUAUUAGGGGGCUACUCUACGCUGCUGCCCAGUGCUGAAUAAACAUACACUUUCCAACUUUAAAUUGUUAG